CCUACGGGAGGCAGCAGUGAGGAAUAUUGGUCAAUGGGCGGAAGCCUGAACCAGCCAAGUAGCGUGCAGGAUGACGGCCCUACGGGUUGUAAACUGCUUUUAUACGGGAAUAACGCGCCUUACGUGUAGGGCUUUGCAUGUACCGUAUGAAUAAGGACCGGCUAAUUCCGUGCCAGCAGCCGCGGUAAUACGGAAGGUCCGGGCGUUAUCCGGAUUUAUUGGGGUUAAAGGGAGCGUAGGCCGCAUGUCAAGGGUCCUGUGAAAUGUCCGGGCUCAACCCCGGCCUUGCAGCGGAAACUGGCGGGCUUGAGUCCGCGGAAAGCAGGCGGAAUUCGUCGUGUAGCGGUGAAAUGCUUAGAUAUGGCGAAGAACCCCGAUUGCGAAGGCAGCUUGCUGCAGCGGAACUGACGCUGAUGCUCGAAAGCGCGGGUAUCGAACAGGAUUAGAUACCCCUGUAGUC
rnacentral:rRNA from 1 species